rnacentral:lncRNA from 1 species
AGCAAUUCUUAGUCUACUGUGAAAUCGAUGGGUCUGGAAAUGGAUGGACUGUGUUUCAGAAAGACUUGAUGGCAGUGUAGAUUUCAAGAAAAACUGGAUUCAAUAUAAAGAAGGAUUUGGACAUCUGUCUCCUACUGGCACAACAGAAUUUUGGCUGGGAAAUGAGAAGAUUCAUUUGAUAAGCACACAGUCUGCCAUCCCAUA